rnacentral:rRNA from 1 species
GACUAACGCUGGCGGCGUGCCUAACACAUGCAAGUCGAACGAAGCAGCAAUGCUUAGUGGCAGACGGGUGAGUAACGCGUAGAUAAUGUGCCCUCUUGCGGGGGAUACCGUUUCGAAAGGAACGUUAAUACCGCAUAACACCUUCGGUGGGCAUCCACUGAAGGUCAAACUUCCGGGGCGGGAGGAGCAAUCUGCGUACUAUCAGGUAGUUGGUGAGGUAACGGCUCACCAAGCCUACGACGGUUAACUGGUCUGAGAGGAUGAUCAGUCACACUGGAACUGAGACACGGUCCAGACUCCUACGGGAGGCAGCAGUGAGGAAUAUUGCGCAAUGAGCGAAAGCCUGACGCAGCGACGCCGCGUGGAGGAUGAAGGCCUUCGGGUUGUAAACUCCUGUCAGUGGGGAAGAGAAUGGACGGUACCGACCUGAGGAAGGACUUCGGCUAACUACGUGCCAGCAGCG